AUUGAACGCUGGCGGCAGGCCUAACACAUGCAAGUCGAACGAGUGGCGGACGGGUGAGUAAUGUCUGGGAAACUGCCUGAUGGAGGGGGAUAACUACUGGAAACGGUAGCUAAUACCGCAUACCAUCGGAUGUGCCCAGAUGGUAGUAGCUAGUAGGUGGGGUAAAGGCUCACCUAGGCGACGAUCCCUAGCUGGUCUGAGAGGAUGACCAGCGACACUGAAACUGAGACACGGUCCAUACUCCUACGGGAGGCAGAAGGGGGGAAUAGUGCACAAUGGGCGCAAGCCUGAUGCAGCCAUGCCGCGUGUAUGAAGAAGGCCUUCGGGUUGUAAAGUACUUUCAGCGGGGAGGCGUUACCCGCAGAAGUCGCACCGGCUAACUCCGUGCCAGCCGCCGCGGUAAUAC
rnacentral:rRNA from 1 species